CACAGGGAAAACUCAGAGAGGACCAAGAGAAGCAGAUACAGGACCUGAGAAGAGCCUGGAUGUCUUCAACAUCACGUUGGCCCGGCAACAAGCACAGAUGGAGGUGAUCCGGUCAGGGCAGAAGGUGGUAGCUAAGAAGGCUGUGGCCGGCCAGAAGCAGGGAGGAGGGUUUUUCAGCAGCUUCUUUGGAAGGAAGGAAGGGAAGAAGAAAGAGCAGGAACAGGAAACCCAGGAGGAAGAGGGUACAGGCAUUGAAGAGUUGAUGUCUGCUGAUGAGAAGAGC